GGCUCGGUGGUGGAUGGUUCACAUCUGCAUUUUAUGCUUUCGGAAGAUGCAUAGUUAAGCAGAAGCAGCCUGUUCGAAUCGGGCCCGAGGCA